AUACGGUAAACGCGAAACCGGGAGGAAGCUCUGUGCCUGCAAGGGACCCGCCGCCAUCUCAGGUCUCGGCCUCGCAGGGCCCACCAGAGAGAACUGACGCCCAGUCCUAUAAUCCUUAUGGGGGACCAACCUUGUGCCUCAGGGAGAUCCACGCUCCCACCUGGAAAUACGCGGGAAAUCAGGCCUCCAAAAAAGCGCUGCCUCCUAGCUCCACGGUGGGAUUAUCCAGAAGGAACUCCCAACGGAGGUAGUAACCCUCUCCCCUCCGCACCUUCUCCUGCAUCACCCGGCCUGAAAUCGCACCCUCCUCCUCCAGAGAAGUAGUAGAAUAUACUUCUCUCACCCCAAACCAGUCUCUGAGGGAUUGCAGAAUGACUCUAUAUCCUUGGUGCAUUCAUAAAAUGGUUCACCUAGUGAAGAUAAUGAAGAUGAUUGACAAUGCUGCCCUGCUUUUUCUGAUGUCCUGCACCAGCUUGUCUUACUCUGUCAGCUAGGAUCUUCAGUUCAAUGAGAAACAAUAACAGUGAUGGAGGAUUUUCUUCUCUUACUUUUGAAUUUACAAGGAAAUUCUGCAAAUGUUUCACCAUUUUUAGAUUUGCUUCUUCAGGAAGCAAAGUCUGUUCAUUUCUAUUCUUAGUAUGCUGAGACUUUUUAAUUAUGAAGGGAUAUGGAGUUUUUCUCCAUUAAUUUGAGAGUGUGACCAUGUGAUAAGUUACAGCAAUCAAUUUUCUAAUAUAUUUUCUGAUUUUGGUUUCAUCACCCUCACCAUUGACUAUUUUGUUUUUAAAAUUUUUGCUUUAAUCUGUAUUAUUCUGUUUACUUGCUUUAUGUUUGCUCUUUUUCUAAUUUAUCUUCUGGACUUUUAGCCCAACAAUUAUCAAGCUCCGUUUCUAAAAUAAGAAUUUAUGACUAUAAAUCUUCCAAUACAUAUGAUGCUGAAGGAAUUUCACAGAUUUUUAUAUGUAGCAUUUUAUGAUAAUUCAAUUAUAAUUUCUCUUAUGAUUUCUCUUUUGACUCAUGAGUUUGUUUAAUUUACAAACACAUGGGGCUCUUUUGUAAAAAUCAGACUGUGAUAUCAUUAGUCCCAUUACAGUUAAACUUCAUCUUAUUUUCUGCUUUAAAAUGUUUUUUUUAUCUUUCUGAUAAGAAAAAACAAAAUUAUAUAGGAGCUUCUCAUUCCAAAGGAUUUUGGCCAUAUAAAACAUUUCUUUCAUUAACUAUAUAUAUAUAUACA